rnacentral:rRNA from 1 species
UACAGAGGUGGCAAGCGUUGUUCGGAAUUAUUGGGCGUAAAGAGCUCGUAGGCGGCUUGUUGCGUCGGCUGUGAAAACCCGCGGCUUAACCGUGGGCUUGCAGCCGAUACGGGCGGGCUGGAGUUCGGUAGGGGAGACUGGAAUUCCUGGUGUAGCGGUGAAAAUGCGUAGAUAUCUGGAGGAACACCGGUGGCGAAGGCGGCAUCCUGGACCGGUAUUGACGCUGAGGAGCGAAAGCCAGGGGAGCAAACGGG